CGGGGUGACUGCCUAGAAUACUGCACAGCCUACCAACAUCUGAUGAAAUUAGUGAAUCAGCAAGCCAGCCAUGACUUACACUCCAGGGAUCGGUGGGGACCCUGUCCAGCCGGCCCGGCGCAUCUCUUCCAACAUCCAGAAGAUCACACAGUGUCUGUGGAAAUACAAAGGACACUGAAUCAACUUGGAACGCCUCAAGACUCACCUGAAUUGAGGCAACACCUACAACAGAAGAAGCAGUAUACUAACCAACUUGCCAAAGAAACAGAUAAGUACAUUAAAGAGUUUGGAUCUCUACCCACCACCCCCAAUGAACAGCGUCAAAGGAAAAUACAGAAGGAUCGCUUAGUGGCUGAAUUCACAGCAGCACUGACAAACUUUCAGAAGGUCCAGCAGCAAGCCACUGAGAGAGAGAAGGAACUUGUGGCCCAAGUAAGAGCCAGUUCCAGAGUGUUGGGUGGUUUUCCUGAGGACAACUCAAAAGAAAGGAAUCUUGUAUCCUGGGAAAGCCAAACACAGCCUCAAGUACAAGUGCAAGAUGAUGAGAUUACAGAAGAUGACCUCCACCUCAUUCAUGAGAGAGAGUCUUCUAUCAGGCAGCUUGAGGCUGAUAUUAUGGAUAUUAAUGAAAUAUUUAAACACUUAGGAACAAUGAUUCAUGAACAGGGAGAUGUGAUAGACAGUAUAGAAGCCAAUGUAGAGAGCGCAGAGGUGCAUGUUCAGCAGGCAAAUCAGCAGCUGUCCAGGGCAGCAAAUUAUCAGCGCAAAUCCAGGAAAACCCUGUGCAUCAUCAUUGUUGUCCUUGUCAUUGGAGCUGUGAUUGUCGGUCUCCUCAUAUGGAGACUGAAAUCCUAG